AUCGCCGCCUCCGCGGGGACUGCCUCCUAGUCCCGCCUCUUCGCCCCUUCGCUUAAACCGGUUGGCUGCCCUCCUGUCAGUCAGAAGCGGGAGUCGCCGGCUGCGGGCGGCUGCUCGGAGGCUUGGUGGGCUGGUGGAGCUCGGGGCUGUGAGAGAGUCUUGAAGUAACUCGGGGUGGAAGAUGUCGGGAAGUAACUCGGCAGAGGCUGGCGACGGAAGCGGGGAGCAGGUGUCUGGUGCUAAAGUCAUCGCCCAGGCCCUGAAGACGCAAGAUGUGGAGUACAUUUUCGGAGUCAUAGGCAUCCCCGUGACCGAAAUCGCCCUUGCUGCCCAGGAACUGGGCAUCAAGUACAUCGGGAUGAGGAACGAGCAAGCGGCUUGUUAUGCUGCCUCUGCGGUUGGAUACCUGACGGGCAGGCCAGGAGUAUGCCUUGCUGUUUCUGGCCCGGGUCUCAUCCACGCCUUGGGUGGCAUGGCAAAUGCAAACGUGAAUUGCUGGCCCUUGAUUGUGAUUGGUGGUUCUUCUGAAAGAAAUCAAGAAACAAUGGGUGCCUUCCAGGAGUUUCCUCAGGUUGAAGCUUGCAGAUUAUACAGCAAGUUCUCUGCCCGGCCAAGCAGCAUAGAGCGUAUUCCUUUCGUAAUUGAGAAGGCAGUGAGGAGCAGCAUCUACGGCCGCCCGGGUGCUUGCUACGUUGACAUUCCUGCAGAUCUCGUGACCCUCCAGGAGAAUGUGGCUUCUAUAAAGUACAAGGAGUGCUGCAUGCCACCUCCUGUUAGCAUGGCAGAAACCUCGGCCGUGUGUACGGCAGCCUCUGUUCUGAGGAAUGCCGAGCGACCCCUGCUCAUCAUCGGGAAAGGUGCUGCUUACUCCCAUGCAGAGGACAGUAUCAGGAGGCUGGUGGAGCAGUGCAAUUUGCCGUUUUUGCCCACCCCUAUGGGGAAGGGUGUUGUCCCUGACAAUCAUCCGAAUUGUGUAGGUGCAGCCAGAUCCAGGGCUCUGCAGGCUGCUGAUGUGAUUGUGCUCUUUGGAGCGAGACUAAACUGGAUAUUGCAUUUUGGACUGCCUCCAAGAUAUCAGGCAGAUGUGAAGUUUAUUCAGAUUGACAUCUGCGCAGAAGAACUGGGGAAUAAUGUAAGGCCUUCUGUGACUUUGCUGGGAGACGUAAAUGCUGUUUGUAAACAGCUUUUAGAACAGUUUGAUAAAACCCCAUGGCAGUACCCCAUGGACAGCAAGUGGUGGAAGAUGCUGAGGGAGAAAAUGAAGAGUAAUGAAGCUGUGUCCCAGGAGCUAGCUUCCAAAAAAUCCCUCCCUAUGAACUAUUACACAGUGUUCUACCAUGUUCAAGAACAGCUGCCCAAAAACUGUUUUAUAGUAAGUGAGGGAGCAAACACCAUGGACAUUGGACGAACUGUGCUUCAGAACUAUCUUCCUCGUCACAGGCUCGAUGCUGGGUCUUUUGGAACAAUGGGAGUCGGUUUGGGAUUUGCUAUUGCAGCUGCUAUGGUGGCUAAAGAUAGAAGUCCUGGACAGCGGGUCAUCUGUGUGGAAGGAGACAGUGCCUUUGGAUUUUCAGGCAUGGAAGUGGAAACCAUCUGCAGGUACAAUUUGCCCAUCAUACUCUUGGUAGUAAACAAUAAUGGAAUUUACCAAGGUUUGGAUGCUGACACCUGGGAAAAAAUGUCAAAUUUUCAAGAAGCUGCUACAACUGUCCCUCCAGUAUGUCUCUUGCCAAACUCCCAUUAUGAGCAAGUCAUGACUGCAUUUGGAGGCAAAGGGUAUUUUGUACAAACACCAGAAGAGCUCCAAAACUCCUUGAGGCAGGCCCUGCAAGACACAAGCAGACCCUGUCUCAUCAACAUCAUGAUCGAACCACAGAGUACGCGGAAGGCCCAGUUGUGGAUUAAGACGUGAACUCUCAACUGUUCCUUCUCUACACCAUCAAGGACUCCAGCCCUCUGAAACAUGAGCCAAAUUAAAAGCUUUCUUUCAUAUGUUGCUCAGUCAUGGUGUUUUAUCACAGCAACAGAAAACUAAGACAGAAGCCAUUUUGCCUGCUUGCCCUCACUCUUCCUGGAAAGUGCAUCUACCCUGUCACUGAGACAUUCCUAUUCUGGGUUAGGACCCACUUCCUUGGGAUUCCAACAAGCUGAAGACCAGCAGCAGUUCUCUAAGACUUCCCUGGGACUCCAGCACUAGACUGGAACCGCAGAGGCAUCCAGUCCUGUGGACUGAACAACCAACAUGUUCUUGGCCUUUCUGUCGGGAGAUGUCCAUUGUCUGACUGAUUGGACCACAGAUUAGCAUGGAUGAGGAGCACAGUAACCCCAAAACAGCUGCAGCAUGAGGUCUUCACCCAGCGUCGCCUUGUCCUCCCAAAGCCCCCUAAUCCUCCCCAACGUGCAAGUCCUGGGACCCUGUGUAAACCUGCACCCCAAUGGCUGGGAGGAGAGCCCCCAGACCCAUUGUGAUGGGCCACAGAAGGUAGAUGUAGCUUAUCUCAUGAAGAUGGAGGCAGCUGAGGGGACAGCAUAUCUCACUGUGGUUCUGAAUCGCAUUCCUCUGAUGAUUACAAAACUGGGCGUUUCCUUCAUGUACUUGCUAGACCUUUUCAUAUGCCUUCUUUUGAGAUGUACCUAGUUUUUAGCCUAAUUUUGAUUUUUUUUUUGGCAUCCAUCUUUUGAGUUCUUCAUGAAUUCUGGCCAUCAUCUCUUAUAAGAUGAAUAAUUUUCAAAUAUACUCUCCAAUUUUGUAGGUCGUCUCUUGGCUCAGCUGACGAUUUCCUUUGCUGUGCAGGAGCUUCUUGUAUAUGACAUAGUCUGACAUAAUCCCAUUAACUGUACCUCUGGUCCUACCUAAAUUAUCAUUGCCUACAGCUGGCCUCAUGCAGCCUUUUGACAUUGCAACAUGACAUUGUCAUCUAGCAAGUUCAUAUUCAAGACCUGCCCAAUCGAUUUACAAAAACAAAACACACAAACGUCUCAUAACGUUGUAAGCAAGUUUGAUUUGGUGGUGGUCGCCAUUUAUCUAGGGGUGCAUGCAGACUGCGGGUCUCAGGGUGGGCUCACCCAUGUGUGUUCCCCUUAUGUUUCCUUACAGUAAGUUUGGUUUCAGGUUUAAGAUUAGGCCUGUGAGCCAUUUGUGGCUGAUCCCUGUGUCCUAUCACUAGAGGACAAAAUCUAGUUUCAACUUCCGAAGGUGCAGUUUUGCCAGCACCAUUCCACGACGUGACUGUCUUUUCUUAGAUGUUCUUGGUGCCUUUGGGAAAGAUAAGCCAUCUGUGUGGAUGAGGAUUAUUCUCUGGUCCUCUAUUCUGUUUCAUUGUCCUGUGUGUGUGUGUUUAUACUAUUAUCAUGCUGGCUUGGUUAUUAUAGCUUUGCAUUAUAUUUUGAAAUUAGAUAUUGUGACACAUCCAAGUUCUCAAGACAGUGGUUUCUUUUUUCCUUUUUUCUUUCCUUUCUUUUCUUUUCUUUUUUUGAGACAGGGUUUCUCUGCGUAGCCCUGGCUGUCCUAGAACUCCCUCUGUAGACCAGGCUGGCCUCAAACUGAGAGAUCUGCCUGCCUCUCCCUCCCAAACACUGGGAUUAAAGGUGUGUGCCACCAAGGCCCAGCAAGACAGUGGUUUCUUGUUUGUUUGCUUUUCUGACAGUGCUAGGGACUAAGCCUAGGACCUCAGGCAUGCUGAGCAGUGCCCUGCCACUGAGCUAUCACCGUAGCCCUUUGUCUCUAGUUUUUUUUUUUUCCUCCCUUCCUCCUUUAUUUUUGGCUCUGCUUAAAAUUAUGUUGGCUAUUCAUUUUUUUUAAUGGUUCCAAAUUAACCAGGAAUUGUUUUGCAUUUCUGUGAAGAAAGUUGUUGGUAUGUUGAUGAGAAUUGCAUUGUAACUAUAGAUUAUACCUAUAGUAUGGUGAUUUUCAUAGUACUGAUUUUUCCUAUUUGCAAACUAGAGCAUAUUGUUCCAUUUCUUCUGGGCAUGCUCGCUAUACUUUUUUCCAUCAGUGUUUUGUAAUUUUCAUUGUAGAAUUUUUAAAUUUCCUUGGUAAGUUUAUUCAUAAACUUUUACAUGGAUAUUGCAAAUGAGAAUUAUUGAAUUUCUCUGUAUAGGGUUCAUUAUUUGUACAUAAACUAUUACUGUUUUUAUAUGUUGCCAUUAUAACCUCUGGUGUUGCUAAAUAUCUAAAAAUGCUUUUAAGACCACUGUUUGUUUUUUUUAAUUGUGUACUUGGUUCUU